ensembl:rRNA 5S_rRNA 5S ribosomal RNA
GCUUACGGCCAUACCACCCUGAACACGCCCGAUCUCGUCUGAUCUCGGAAGCUAAGCAGGGUCGGGCCUGGUUAGUACUUGGAUGGGAGACCGCCUGGGAAUACCAGGUGCAGUAAGCU